UACACUCCUGCGGGAGGCAGCAGUGGGGAAUAUUGGACAAUGGGCGCAAGCCUGAUCCAGCCAUGCCGCGUGAGUGAUGAAGGCCCUAGGGUUGUAAAGCUCUUUCACCGGUGAAGAUAAUGACGGUAACCGGAGAAGAAGCCCCGGCUAACUUCGUGCCAGCAGCCGCGGUAAUACGAAGGGGGCUAGCGUUGUUCGGAUUUACUGGGCGUAAAGCGCACGUAGGCGGACUAUUAAGUCAGGGGUGAAAUCCCGGGGCUCAACCCCGGAACUGCCUUUGAUACUGGUAGUCUUGAGUUCGAGAGAGGUGAGUGGAAUUCCGAGUGUAGAGGUGAAAUUCGUAGAUAUUCGGAGGAACACCAGUGGCGAAGGCGGCUCACUGGCUCGAUACUGACGCUGAGGUGCGAAAGCGUGGGGAGCAAACAGGAUUAGAAACCCCUGUAGUCCAAUG
rnacentral:rRNA from 1 species